UCAAGCCAGUAAGGGCAUACGGUGGAUGACUUGGCGUCAAGAGGCGAUGAAAGACGUUGGAACCUGCGAAAAGCUACAGGGAGCUGGUAACCGAGCUGUGAUCUGUAGAUGUCUGAAUGGGGCAACCCACCCUUCGGGGUAUCACGUACUGAAUGCAUAGGUGCGUGAGGCGAACCCAGGGAACUGAAACAUCUAAGUACCUGGAGGAAAGGAAAGCAACAUGCGACUCCGUAAGUAGCGGCGAGCGAAAGCGGAUAGAUGUGAGCUCUGUGAACACGUUGGAAUGCGUGACCAAAGACGGUGAAAGUCCGGUAGCAGAAGGUAGCAUCAUAGCCCUCGAGUAGGCUCGGGCUCGUGGAACCCGGGUUGAACAUGGGAGGUCCACCUUCCAAGGCUAAGUACUCCUUGACGACCGAUAGCGAAAAAGUAAAGUGAUUGAACGUUUAAAAGUACCCCUAUUAGGGGGGUGAAAUAGACCUGAAACCGUGUGCCUACAAGCGGUCGGAGCCCUACGGGGUGACGGCGUGCUUUUUGCAUAAUGAGCCCGCGAGUUAGUCUCAGUGGCGAGCUUAAGGCCUAACGGGCCGGAGGCGGAGCGAAAGCGAGUCUGAAUAGGGCGUAUAGUCGC
rnacentral:rRNA from 18 species